UGAGAACCCUUUCUUUAAAGAUUCUUUUGGUUCAUCACAAGCCUCUGUGGCUUCUCCUCAACCCGUAUCUUCUGAGAUGUAUAGGGAUCCAUUUGGAAAUCCUUUUGCCUAAAUUAUGUAAGUAGAAGAUCCUAAUAAGCCUAUCUCAGGGGUUUUUGUGAGAAAGGUGACAUGGAAUAAAGAGUGAAAUUUUAAUUUUAGAAUUGAGAAGAGGGUAAAUAUCUAUAAUUUAGGGAGUAAUCAACAUGAAAAUCUCUACUGAGAUCAUUCAAUAAUGACUAGGCUGGGCACUUAAGAAUAGAAUUCCUAAACACAUCAAAAAAUAGUAAUAUACCCUUGGGGAUGUGGAUUUUUAUCUUAUCCCAUGUUUUUGGUUUUUCAGUUCU
rnacentral:sRNA from 1 species